AUUGAACGCUGGCGGCAUGCCUUACACAUGCAAGUCGAACGGUAACAGGUCUUCGGAUGCUGACGAGUGGCGAACGGGUGAGUAAUACAUCGGAACGUGCCCGAUCGUGGGGGAUAACGAGGCGAAAGCUUUGCUAAUACCGCAUACGACCUACGGAUGAAAGCGGGGGAUCUUCGGACCUCGCGCGGACGGAGCGGCCGAUGGCAGAUUAGGUAGUUGGUGGGAUAAAAGCUUACCAAGCCGACGAUCUGUAGCUGGUCUGAGAGGAUGAUCAGCCACACUGGGACUGAGACACGGCCCAGACUCCUACGGGAGGCAGCAGUGGGGAAUUUUGGACAAUGGGCGAAAGCCUGAUCCAGCCAUGCCGCGUGCAGGAUGAAGGCCUUCGGGUUGUAAACUGCUUUUGUACGGAACGAAAAGCCUCUUUCUAAUAAAGAGGGGUCAUGACGGUACCGUAAGAAUAAGCACCGGCUAACUACGUG
rnacentral:rRNA from 1 species